UUGAACGCUGGCUGCAGGCCUAACACGUGCAAGUCGAGCGGUAGAGAGAAGCUUGCUUCUCUUGAGAGCGGCGGACGGGUGAGUAAUGCCUAGGAAUCUGCCUGGUAGUGGGGGAUAACGUUCGGAAACGGACGCUAAUACCGCAUACGUCCUACGGGAGAAAGCAGGGGACCUUCGGGCCUUGCGCUAUCAGAUGAGCCUAGGUCGGAUUAGCUAGUUGGUGGGGUAAUGGCUCACCAAGGCGACGAUCCGUAACUGGUCUGAGAGGAUGAUCAGUCACACUGGAACUGAGACACGGUCCAGACUCCUACGGGAGGCAGCAGUGGGGAAUAUUGGACAAUGGGCGAAAGCCUGAUCCAGCCAUGCCGCGUGUGUGAAGAAGGUCUUCGGAUUGUAAAGCACUUUAAGUUGGGAGGAAGGGCAGUAAAUUAAUACUUUGCUGUUUUGACGUUACCGACAGAAUAAGCACCGGCUAACUCUGUG
rnacentral:rRNA from 1 species